GUGCUCGUUUCGGCAGCACAUAUACUAAAAUUGGAAUGAUACAGAGAAGAUUAGCACGGCCCCUGUGCAAGGAUGACACGCAAAUUUGUGAAGUGUUCCGUAUUUUU
ensembl:snRNA U6 U6 spliceosomal RNA